rnacentral:rRNA from 1 species
CGAAUGACUCUCGGCAACGGAUAUCUCGGCCCUCGCAUCGAUGAAGAACGUAGCGAAAUGCGAUACGUGGUGUGAAUUGCAGAAUCCCGCGAACCAUUGAGUCCUUGAACGCAAGUUGCGCCCGAGGCCUUCCGGCCGAGGGCACGCCUGCCUGGGCGUCACGC